GCAGUUGAGCAUGUGACUGCGCGAACGCUCAGUAACACGUAGUCAACUGCCCUCGGGACGGGAACAAUCUCGGGAAACUGAGGCUAAUCCCGGUAGGUCAAGAUUCCUGGAAUGGGUUUUGGUUUAAAGGGCUUGACAGCAUCUGUCAAUUCGCCCGAGGAUGGGACUGCGGCCGAUCAGGCUGUUGGUGGGGUAAAGGCCCACCAAACCAGUAACCGGUACGGGCUUUGAGAGAAGGAGCCCGGAGAUGGACACUGAGACAAGGGUCCAGGUCCUACGGGGCGCAGCAGGCGCGAAACCUUCGCAAUGUGCGAAAGCACGACGAGGUCAUUCCGAGUGGUCUCCGCUGAGGAGAUCUUUUGUUAGAUCUAAAAAGUCUGGCGAAUAAGGGGAGGGCAAGUCUGGUGUCAGCCGCCGCGGUAAUACCAGCUCCUCGAGUGGUCAGGGCGUUUAUUGGGCCUAAAGCAUCCGUAGCCGGCUCAGUUGGUCUCCUGUUAAAUCCAACGGCUCAAUCGUUGGUCUGCAGGAGAUACCGCUGGGCUAGGAGGCGGGAGAGGCGGACGGUACUCCGAGGGUAGGGGUAAAAUCCUUUGAUCCCCGGAAGACCACCAGAUCGACUGUGAGAGGUAACAGAAAUGAUACCAAGUAUUAUAUCGAAACCGGGCAUCAUGACCUUCGCAUGAUGUUUUUGCGUUUAUCAGAACUUCUUACAGUCGGGGUGAUUGGCGAAGGCGGUCCGCCAGAACGCGCUCGACGGUGAGGGAUGAAAGCUGGGGGAGCGAACCGGAUUAGAUACCCGGGUAGUCCCAGCUGUAAACGAUGCGAGCUAGGUGACACAACGCCUUCGGGGCGUUGUGGUGCCGCAGGGAAGCCGUUAAGCUCGCCGCCUGGGGAGUACGGACGCAAGUCUGAAACUUAAAGGAAUUGGCGGGGGAGCACCACAAGGGGUGAAGCCUGCGGUUCAAUUGGACUCAACGCCGGA
rnacentral:rRNA from 1 species